AAAAAGCUAGAUCUUGAUUUUUAUUUUGACCGUUGGGCGAUCAAAAUUCGGUUCUUUA
rnacentral:tRNA from 1 species